AAAAAAACGGACAUUGUGCUACUACUAUCCUAUCCAUCUCUAUCUCGAAUGAACAUGUAUACACGAAAAAUGUAGUACACCCACAAUUGUUGAUGAGUGAGGGGGCCCGUCUCUCUCUCUCCAACCGGACACGGAAUUUCGCCCCGGAGCGAGGAUUACCUGUCUCUCUUUCUCUGCGGCUAACGCCCUCUCAGAGUGCGUAUUACAUCCAGGCAACCAACUGGCAUUCGCUCAUUCGUUACAGACAGCGUCGGGUGUUGUUUAAGAUAGUCGUAGGGAUUCAUCGCCAGAGCGCGAGUGGCUCUUAGCUCGGAGAACUUCCAAACUCGGGAAAAUGGGAGAUAUUUCCGCUGUUGUUUUAUUUUCGUUCAAAAUUUUGUUCGAGCAGUUGCCACUUGGGACGUCGAGCAGGGAGGACGCCGAUGGAGAGACGGGAACGACGCCAAAGUACUCAGGAUAGGGGGGGCGGACGAAUGACGAUGGCGCGUCUAUUAACGGAAUUGACUCUUUUAGCCUGAAAUGGGGGGGCCUGUCGCUGUUGGAUUUCCUAAUUGAAUCCAUUGCGAAAAGGACACGUGAGAAACGUCGAGGAUAACGGGCCAGUCGAUCGGCGGAAAAAAAUAAAAUAAUAAAAACGAGGGUCCCAAAAUGUCAAAAGUAGAGAUAAAAAGUGGAGUAAAUGAACUCACCUGGACUUGGUAGACGUACUCGUCCUCGCUGCUGCUGUUGCUGCUACUACAUUCACUACUCCUACUACUGGAAGAACGGUUGAUAUCGUGUCUCUAAAUAAAAAAUGUCGAGAAAAAAAAAAAUAAACAUAACGGAAACAAUUCUCGAAAAAAAAAACAAAUACACUUGCAACCAUUUUGUGUGUCUUCAAAUUGUUUCGUAAAAAAAAAAUAUAUAGAAAAAUGGGAGAGAGAAAUUCAUCCUGCCGGAAUCGUAUAAAAUAAGGUAAGUAGAAUCUUAAUAUUUAUAUCCAAUACACGAGUCUGAGAUUAAAAAGGUUUGCCUGGAAGUCUUAAAAAAAUCAUUUCUUCCUUCCCCGAAAAAUUGUCGUCCACAUAAACGACCCGUUCAAAUAAAUGUUUAAAACGA